rnacentral:rRNA from 1 species
GACGAACGCUGGCGGCGUGCUUAACACAUGCAAGUCGAACGGAAAGGCCCUUCUUGCAGGGUACUCUCGUGUCGAACGGGUGAGUAACACGUGGGUGAUCUGCCCUGCACUUCGGGAUAAGCCUGUGAAACUGUGUCUAAUACCGGAUAGGAGCCAUUUUUAGUGUGAUGGUUGGAAAGUUUUUUCGGUGUAGGAUUAGCUCGCGGCCUGUCAGCUUGUUUGUGGGGUGAUGGCCUACCAAGGCGGCGACGGGUAGGCGGGCUGAGAGGGUGGACGGCCACAAUGGGAAUGAGGUAAGGCCCAGAAUCCUAAGGGAGGCAGCAGUGGGGAAUAUUGCACAAUGGGCGCAAGCCUGAUGCAGCGACGCCGCGUGGGGGAUGACGGCCUUCGGGUUGUAAACUCCUUUCGCUAGGGAAGAAGCUUUUUGUGACGGUACCUAGAUAAGAAGCACCGGCUAACUACGUG